UACAGUAAUGACUCCCUCCAGGGGUAAUACAGUAAUGACUCCCUCCAGGGGUAAUACAGUAAUGACUCCCUCCAGGGGUAAUACAGUAAUGACUCCCUCCAGGGGUAAUACAGUAAUGACUCCCUCCAGGGGUAAUACAGUAAUGACUCCCUCCAGGGGUAAUACAGUAAUGACUCCCUCCAGGGGUAAUACAGUAAUGACUCCCUCCAGGGGUAAUACAGUAAUGACUCCCUCCAGGGGUAAUACAGUAAUGACUCCCUCCAGGGGUAAUACAGUAAUGACUCCCUCCAGGGGUAAUACAGUAAUGACUCCCUCCAGGGGUAAUACAGUAAUGACUCCCUCCAGGGGUAAUACAGUAAUGACUCCCUCCAGGGGUAAUACAGUAAUGACUCCCUCCAGGGGUAAUACAGUAAUGACUCCCUCCAGGGGUAAUACAGUAAUGACUCCCUCCAGGGGUAAUACAGUAAUGACUCCCUCCAGGGGUAAUACAGUAAUGACUCCCUACAGGGGUAAUACAGUAAUGACUCC